UCUCGGCAUCGCGCGGAGCGCGCAGGGCGACGUGCAAGACGGCACGAUCUUCUGUAGCGUUGAUAUGUUUGCCGCUCCACAUGGCAUUGAUCUUCUCGGACAGCUUCGCCUCCUCCGCAAGAGACAGCAAUUUCUCCACCGUCUCCAAGGUAGCGCGCUGCCUGCUGUAGUCCACCACGAUGCCGUCCACCUCCUUGAUCAUGCUCUUGCACCGCUGCUCGUCCUUCAUUAGCUCUCGCAAGUGUGUCUUCUUAAUUUCGCUCAUGUGCUGCUGCAGCUGCUUCCACGCAAGGGAAUCGGAGAUCGCCUUCCUGCUCACAUGCUCAGGCUCCUGUUCCUGCUCCUGAUACUUAUUCCACGCUGGAGAAUCGGCGAUCGCCAUCUUGAUUACUCCUCCCCGAAGCCUCUGACCUCUAACACCCUUCCCUGUCUCACAAACCUUCCACCUGCUCGUCCUCAACCCUGUCGCCUUCAACCCGGACACUGCAAAAUUGUUCAGCUGAGGUACAUUUAUGCUCCGCCUCUCAUCCUGCGAUGCAACAUUCAAGGCUAGAGAGAAUUAUUUCCAUACUCUAAACGUCAAAGUUUAUAUUUUAAUCUAUGCCUUUCUCAUUCUUUACAACCAUACCGCAAGCUGGAGAGAUGGAAAGAAAAGGGCUAAGCCCGAUCAGUAAACCCUAGCCCGAAUCAAGCUUCAACAAAAACACGACAAACAGUGCAUUCCAACUGCACUAUUUCCACCACGAUCAAAAGAAGAAUCUCUUGCCGGCCUCCGAUCGCAGCAAGCACACCGGACGCUGCGAUCAACACCAUCAAUUCCAAAGAAUUCCCCAAAAAAUAUAAAUAAAUCAAUAUUCCAUCAUUUCUCCCACGCAACAACAUCCGAUGGCAGGAAUUCAUCGGAUCAAUCCUUCGCCAAAAUAAAAUCUUCAUACAUACACCGAAACAUCAACCAAAAUGCACAAUUCGGCAAACAAUCAUAUACCUC
rnacentral:lncRNA from 1 species